UCUUACGGGAGGCAGCAGUAGGGAAUCUUCCGCAAUGGACGAAAGUCUGACGGAGCAACGCCGCGUGAGUGAUGAAGGCUUUCGGGUCGUAAAACUCUGUUGUUAGGGAAGAACAAGUGCUAGUUGAAUAAGCUGGCACCUUGACGGUACCUAACCAGAAAGCCACGGCUAACUACGUGCCAGCAGCCGCGGUAAUACGUAGGUGGCAAGCGUUAUCCGGAAUUAUUGGGCGUAAAGCGCGCGCAGGUGGUUUCUUAAGUCUGAUGUGAAAGCCCACGGCUCAACCGUGGAGGGUCAUUGGAAACUGGGAGACUUGAGUGCAGAAGAGGAAAGUGGAAUUCCAUGUGUAGCGGUGAAAUGCGUAGAGAUAUGGAGGAACACCAGUGGCGAAGGCGACUUUCUGGUCUGUAACUGACACUGAGGCGCGAAAGCGUGGGGAGCAAACAGGAUUAGAUACCCUGGUAGUCCACGCCGUAAACGAUGAGUGCUAAGUGUUAGAGGGUUUCCGCCCUUUAGUGCUGAAGUUAACGCAUUAAGCACUCCGCCUGGGGAGUACGGCCGCAAGGCUGAAACUCAAAGGAAUU
rnacentral:rRNA from 1 species